CUUGAUGAGAGGGGUGUGUCUGAUUGGCAGAUUGAAGCAGGCAGGUGCAGAGUGGUGAGGGAGAGAUGAACUGUGACAGAAGUGGUUGAAAUCUUCCCCUACUAAGUGGGAUUAAACUAAGUUAUUACAAUCAUCAUCAUUAUUCUUUAAAUCCUUAUUAAAGGAGAAAAUACUACAUUUGUGGGUCUCUCUCCCAGCUUGCCAGUGAUUUGCAAAGCAUUUUGAUGUAUUUCCUUACCCCUUGGUUUGAAGUGCGGGUCAGCAAAAUAGGGCUAUAAAGCCUUAACACUUGGCCCUACCCCUUCAUGCCAACAGGCAUUGGGACAGAAAUGGGAUUGGGCCUUUGACAACACCAUGAGGCUACAUUUCUUUGGCAGGCUGAUCAUUGCUCAGCAGCUCGAUGAAGGCUACAGGACUGGCAUACUGUGUGUUGUGAUGUUGAAUCACCAGCCGCCACUGCUCGAACACCAUGUCGCCUCUGAAGAAGCAGUGAGUUUUAUUGUGAAAGACCAAAGAGCUAGAGGAGGAGGAGGAGGAGGAGGAAGAGUGUCGGGAGCGCGCUCGGCUGUACGCUCCGUCCCGUGCUGCUCUCCGGUUGGCUGCUGUGGCAGCGGGAGCGCGGGCAGCAGAGAUCUCGGAGUGACAGUCAGAGCUUCCACGUCAACACAGCGAGCAGCGGCGGCGGCGAUGGAGUCCUCGUCUCUGGAACCUUCCCUCUACACAGUGAAAGCUGUUUUCAUUCUUGACAAUGAUGGCAACAGACUUCUGUCAAAGUAUUAUGACCCUGAGCUCUACCCCUCCAUGAAGGAGCAGAAGAACUUUGAGAGGAACAUUUUCAACAAGACACACAAAGCAGACAAUGAGAUAGCAUUCCUGGAGGGGAUGACCAUUGUCUAUAAAGGCAGUAUAGACCUCUUCUUCUAUGUGGUGGGAAGUGCUCAGGAGAAUGAGCUGAUGCUGAUGUCAGUGCUGAACUGCCUGUUUGAGUCCCUCAGUCACAUCCUCAGGAAAAAUGUGGAGCGGAGAUGCUUACUGGAUAACAUGGAGGGAGUGUUCCUAAUUGUGGAUGAAAUUAUCGAUGGAGGGGUGAUUCUGGAGAGUGACCCCCAGCAGGUCCUACAGAAGGUCAACUACAGGCUAAUGUCAGAGCCAGCCUAUGGCUUCGUCCUGUUUGAUUACAUCACUGGUAACCUAGAGGGACAGACAGACAAGAGCCAGCUGCUGUAGACAGACAGACAGAGGGCGGAUGAGAACCCAUUAUCUGAACAAAGCGUUGCUCAGCACAUAACAGAGAAACUGGCCCUGACCUCUAACGUACUGCAGUCAGCCAAGGAGCAGAUCAAAUGGUCCAUACUGAAAUGACGUGGACCAGACAAAUUUAGGAUUCACAUGAAUUGUCCUUGAGAAUAUUUCUUGUCCCAAAGCUAUUUUUAUAGUAACAGAGUAAAGGGAAGCUCAUCACGAGCCUGUUGGGUUGUAGGCUGCUUUAUAUAAAGAUGAACCAGUGCACUGGCAUUUUGUUACAUUGGGUGGGUGAUUAAUGUUGUAGGUUUGAGGAUGAUCAUUGUCUUAACACACGUGGAGAUGUUAUUUACAUUUAUACACACUAAAUGAAUCCAGGCUCUUCACUCUAAAGUGUCUCAGAAAUCAAAAGAAGAGUCCAUCGGGGCUUCUGGUUAAAACCGGGCAGCUGUCAAACACUAAACUAAUCGACCAUACUGGAAGCUUUGUUUGUGCUUUUAUUUUGGCGGAGCAGGAUCUUCCAGUCUUAUUCAACCACAUGUUUGCAUGUUGGUGAUGUGCAAACAUUUUCAGAUUACACACCUUUCCCCCAAAAUGUUACAUAUCCAAAAGAUCAUGGAGCCCUUUUGUUGCCCGCAUCUACAUCAACGACACAAGGCUGCGUCCUGUGAAUUGUUACUGUUUGUGAGUCCGUAUUUGAUUUAAAGAUUAAAAUGAACGAGGACAAACUGGGAAAUAAGAAGCAACACACCACGAUGUUAAAUUAGCACCGCGACAUGAUUUGUGCACUUAACUGCUCAGUUUAAUAAAGAUGCCGUUAAUCUGACUUUGUCAAGGCUCCUUAAACAACAAUAAUGUUUUGUAAAGUUUAUUUAAAAAACUGUAAAUGAAUGUAAUGAUAAUUAAUCACACUUAACAAAUAACGUUCUGUGUUGAAGGCAGUAUGUUACUGUUGCACUGUCAGAGCCUUUAUUAAAACUCUUCUUUGAACA